AGGUAAAUAACAAAAAUAAAUUGUAUGCGAUUUCGGCUCGUAAUGUAGCUUUAGUAGCUUUUACUUU
rnacentral:tRNA from 1 species